CCUACGGGAUGCUGCAGUGAGGAAUAUUGGUCAAUGGGCGCGAGCCUGAACCAGCCAAGUAGCGUGAAGGAUGACUGCCCUACGGGUUGUAACCUUCUUUUAUAAAGGAAUAAAGUGAGGCACGUGUGCCUUUUUGUAUGUACUUUAUGAAUAAGGAUCGGCUAACUCCGUGCCAGCAGCCGCGUUAAUACGGAGGAUCCGAGCGUUUUCCGGAUUGAUUGGGUUUAAGGGGAGCGUAGAUGGGUUGUAAAGUCAGUUGUGAAAGUUUGCGGCUCAACCGUAAAAUUGCAAUUGAUACUGGCAGUCUUGAGUACAGUUGAGGUAGGAGGAAUGCGUGGUGUAGCGGUGAAAUGCUUAGAUAUCACGAAGAACCCCGAUUGCGAAGGCAGCUUACUAAACUGUGACUGACAUUGAUGCUCGAAAGUGUGGGUAUCAAACAGGAUUAGAUACCCUUGUAGUC
rnacentral:rRNA from 1 species